GACAGAGGGGGCAAGCGUUGCUCGGAAUUACUGGGCGUAAAGGGCGCGUAGGCGGGAUGGCAAGUCGGUCGUGAAAUCCCUCGGCUCAACCGAGGAACGUCGAUCGAUACUGCUGUUCUUGAGGAUUGCAGAGGAGACUGGAAUUCCCGGUGUAGCGGUGAAAUGUGUAGAGAUCGGGAGGAACACCGGUGGCGAAGGCGGGUCUCUGGGCCGUAACUGACGCUGAGGAGCGAAAGCGUGGGGAGCGAACAGG
rnacentral:rRNA from 1 species